GGUAUAUGAUGAGUUGCAAAGACAAGUAAAGAAUGCAAUAUUAGCUAUGAUUGAUCGGAAACGUGCAGGAGAAUCUAUUGAUGAAAAAUUGGUUAAUAACAUGUUGACAUUUUACUCAGAGAUUGGAGAAAGGACAAAUAUAAAAGAACCAAAACAGUUUGCUGAAACAAUUAUUAAAGAGAAUCCAACAUUCAAUAUUAUGUAGAGGAUUCAUAUCGGAUAUAGCAAGUUUUGGUAUCUUUAAAUUGAAAGUAUACUACCAUAGAUUGCUACUUUGUGGAUUACAAGAUUGCUACUUUAUUUUCUUUUUUUAUAUCUUUAAAUUGAAUCUAUAAAAUUAUUGCUACUUUAUUUUCCUUUUUAUUAGUGAUUGAUACUUUAUUCUCGAUGUUAAAAUUUAUCUUUUUAUUGUUGGACCGUGAGGGGAGCCUCAUGUGGAAUCGAUUUCUCUAAUACAAGUGACUCUAACACUACAUUUUCAUCCGAAUCUUUAAAGCAUUGAGUUUAUAUAUAGGUCUUCUCACUUAUAAAGUGAUCAACCUCAACUCUUCCGACCAAUGUGAAACUUUUUCUCAUAAUUCAUAAAUCUCAACACUAAUUUCCAUCAUUCACCUUCUUGCAAACAUACUAAUGAUGCCUUAAUCCUUUUUCAUCUUUUGCAGUUAUCUAACUUGUAUUUUCCUUUAUAUUUUUUGCAUUGCUUCUUGAAUAAAUACCUUAAUCAUCAAGCUCAGCUGUAAUGGAUCUCAAAAUGUUACGGUAGGCCUUGCUGGGUGUGGAGGCUUGUUAAGGGACUCGAAUGGAAAGUGGAUCAAGGGCUACUCUCGAAAAAUUGGAUAUUGUGAUGCGCUUCAUGCAGAAAUGUGGGGCAUGUACUUAGGAAUGAACCUUGCUUGGAGUUGGAGCAGGGAAUGACUCAUCUCCAGGUUGAAAGCGAUUCUAAAGUGAUGAUAGAUAUGGUGACUGGUAGAGUUAAGCUCAAUGGAAGCACUCCCACUUUGGUGUUUCGCAUUAGACAUCUUCUUGUUUUGAGUUGACAAGUCAUUUUGUCUCAUACGUGGUGCGAGGGAAAUAGAAAUGCAGAUUAGCUUGCUAAUUUUAG